rnacentral:rRNA from 1 species
UACGUAGGGGGCUAGCGUUGUCCGGAUUUAUUGGGCGUAAAGAGCGUGUAGGCGGCCAAGUAGGUCCGGUGUGAAAACUCGAGGCUUAACCUCGAGAUGUCAUCGGAAACCAUUUGGCUAGAGUCCGGAAGAGGAAAGUGGAAUUCCUGGUGUAGCGGUGAAAUGCGCAGAUAUCUGGAGGAACACCGGUGGCGAAGGCGGCAUCCUGGACCAAUUCUGACACUGAGGAGCGAAAGCCAGGGGAGCAAACGGG